rnacentral:misc_RNA from 1 species
GAUGAAGAACGUAGCGAAAUGCGAUAAGUAGUGUGAAUUGCAGAAUUCCGUGAAUCAUCGAAUCUUUGAACGCACAUUGCGCCUUCUGGUAUUCCGGAAGGCAUGCCUGUUCGAGAGUCAUUAACAACCGUUUCGAUCCCUUUCUUUCAGAAAUUACAAAGAGGAAAAGGGUUUGGUUAUGGUGGAGGAGGGAAAGGGAGCGUUUAGCCUGUAAAAAAAGAGGCUGUGUUCCGCCUCCCCCCCAAAAUUGUACAGGCGGUCGUGUGCGCCCACGCAUCGAGGUGUUGUAAAAGCUGCCACGGCACUUUUCACCUGAGCAGUGCGAGAUUGGCCAGCCGGUUUAAAAACCCCUCCAAACAAUCAAAGGUUGACCUCGGAUCAGGUAGGGAUACCCGCUGAACUUAAGCAUAUCAAUAAGCGGAGGA